ACGAGCGUGAGCGGUGUGGCACUUGCAGCCAGUUGCAGAAAGUAGCGUUGCUGCCGCUAGAUUCUUGUGACCAUAGAGUAAAUAAAGUACUAAUGUCACUCGCUCGGCACACUGCGACACAGUGUGUCGCAAACUAUACUAUCAUAGAUAUUGAGGGUUUCGUGGUCGGUAUGCCAGAAUGAACAGUGGAAAAUGCAUUACGAGCACACUUCUAGUCUAUCCAAGAAUUAUUAUUGUACCCUGUGCUUACAAGCAAAUAAUAUUUGUGAUCUGAAUUUUUUAUAAUAAAUGUGCCUAUUAAGACACUGGGAACUCA